rnacentral:rRNA from 1 species
UUCGGGAUGCCGGCGAGUGGCGAACGGGUGAGUAACACGUGGAGACCUAUCCUAGGGUGGGGGACAACAACUGGAAACGGUUGCUAAUACCGCAUACGCCUUACGAGGGAAAGAUUUAUUGCCCCGGGCGGGUUCCGCGUCGGAUUAGCUAGUUGGUGGGGUAACGGCCUACCAAGGCGACGAUCCGUAGCUGGUCUUAGAGGAUGAUCAGCCACACUGGGACUGAGACACGGCCCAGACUCCUACGGGAGGCAGCAGUGGGGAAUAUUGCGCAAUGGGGGAAACCCUGACGCAGCGAUGCCGCGUGGGUGAACAAGGCCUUCGGGUUGUAAAGCCCUUUCAGUGGGGAAGAUGAUGACGGUACCCACAGAAGAAGCCCCGGCUAACUCCGUGCCAGCAGCCGCGGUAAUACGGAGGGGGCGAGCGUUGUUCGGAAUUAUUGGGCGUAAAGGGCGCGUAGGCGGUUUAUCAAG